CAGAGCACAAAGGGCCUUUGUCCUGCCUGCCCCGCCCAGCGAGUCCUCGGGCCCAGCCACGGCUGGGGCUGGGGGCUGGGUCCCCUCUGGCCGGCUCUGCCAUGGGCCGCCAGCCUGGUCCCAGGAGAGCCACACCCCCUCCCCUCCACUGUCCCCACCGCGUGCCCCCACCCGGCUGCCAUGACAAUGUCCUACCCAGCAGGAGGACCAGGCCGGAACCUUUGGCAGCCACCAGUUCCUGGUGAUUCCGACACCAAGUGCAGCCACUGUGCGGGGCCAGGUGUGGAGUGGCCCCACACUGACCAGCUCACGUCAGCUGGCAGAGCCACUGGGCCCUCUCUGUGGAGGAGGAGAGAGGCCUCAGGUGCCACACGCUGUGCCCUAGGGCCACUCACUUCCUUGUCAGAGCUGAACCCAGGCUCCUGCGGACCAAGAGGGGGUCCAGGAAGAACUGCCCCGGGACCUGGACAGAGCAGACGCCAUGUGCACGAGCAGCGUGGACCAGAGGGGCCCCGGGGGCCACCUGCUCCAUCCGACCAGGCACCAGUCCCGCCAGACUCGCCUGAGGAUGCCCGUGGGCCCCAGCGACACCUGGGGUGCCCCCCCACACCCCUGCACCUACCUGAGACCAAGGGUGGGGGUGGGGCUGUGUGCCUGAGUCCUGGCCCUCCCAGGGCCACCCUCAGGAGCGGCUGCACAGGCUCUGGCCAGCCGGGGCUCACAGCAGCUCAUGGAGCCAGGCCCAUCCUGGGAGGCUCAGGGCUGCAGCCCAUGGACUCAUGAGGGGGGCUUCUGGGGUCUAAGGCCAGAAGUCACCUUUCUUCUCACAGAGGCACCCCCACAUCACAGGCCCCAAGCUCCCACCAGGAGUCCCCAGGCAGCAGGUUUCCCACCACGGCUGGGAAGAGCCCCACCUUCACCACCCACCACCAGCCAAUCCCGAGACCACCGAAGCCCCCAGACCGGGCCCUUUGCCCCUCCUGCCCCCCAGCUCUCCCUACUGCCCAGAGCCUCUGCCAGCACCCAGGGACCCACGUCCACCUCCCAGAGCGGCCCUGCCCAGGGUCCUUGCCUGUCCUGCACGAUUCUCCGUGGCCCUUGGAGAAAGAGCAGCUUCUCCCCAAGCUCUGCCCCCAGCCCUUCCACCCCAGAGCCUCUGCCCAGACGUCCCGUCCCGUCCCACGGGGCUCUCACGCUUCCGCCCCACCUCUUGCCCAUUCCCGGACAGUCACAGCCGUGGAACAACGCAGCGUGUGGACCCAGCCCGAGGGGAGCUUGACUCUGCCUGGUCCCCACGGCGUCCGGUGGCUCACCAGCCGCCCCCAUUGCUCCAUGAAAUCUGACCACACCUGUCCUGACACUCGACCAGCUCCCAGGCAGGUCCCGCCGUGCAGGGGGCCAAGGGCCACACCUGGGACCAGUGAGUGAGGUGGCGUGCGGGCAGCGGGGGUGUGAGCCCGAGACGGGGGUCCGGCCUUCUCCCACUCGGAUGCCAACAGCAGACUCUGGAUUUGGAGGUGUGGGCAGUGCCUCAGUCUCCCCAGAAGACAAGAGCCCACCCGCCGGGUGUGUCCUGACCCCACCCCCACCUGCCCCACACAGACACCUGAGUGGGCAUCAGAGUGGGCCGGGCCCUGACUGUCCGGGGGAGGGACUGUUGGGGCGAGGGCAGUGGGUCAGAGAUCACUGGUGCCCCCAGGACCAGCUUCCAGCGAGAAGAGAGCCAGGAGCCCCGGGCACAGGCCCUCAGUGAUGAGGCUCCUGACCGAGCUCCCAGAGCUCAUUAUGGAAAAUCGUGGGGUCCGCCGGGACCUCUCUGCUGGUCGGGCUAAUUACGGACCGUUUGUCGUUUCGUUAUGGGCUCUUCCGCUGGGAGCUGUGAGAAGCAAACACUUUGCUGUGGGAGGGGCGCUUCCCGGACCAGGCGGGGGCCCUGCCCUCCCCACCCCCAGACCCCUGGUCCCCCAGGCCUUCCAAGCUCCCAGAAGAAAACUUGUACCCCCACUCCAGGGGCUCCAAAGUAACCUCCAGAGCCCAAAUGGGGAUGUUCCGGGGCCUGCUGGGGCCUCGCAGGGAGGCUCAGGAAGGCACCCACACCCCUCUCUCAUUCCCCCAGCUGUGGGUCUGUGGGGUCUCGGAGCCUCUUGCCCAUUGGGGUGGGACUGGGGGCACGUAGCUCCUCCGAGCCCCUGGAGAGGAGACCGAUCUGAGGCCCACCUGGGCCUACGGGGUCCCUUCAUUGCUCCAAAAUUAGGUGCUGGGGGCCUGGAGCUAAGACAGCAGGUCUGGCACCUGCCUUCUGUCCGUGAGAGGCCUCAGCCCAAUGGGACAGGGCACCACGGCUGCAGGGAGGCGGCGGGCAGGUUGUGACCCCUCACCCUGGAGCCACCCUACCCGCUUCUAAGGCAGCCUGGGAAGGAGCCCUGCGGAGCUGAGGGGCGGGGAGGCGGGGGUGGAGAGGCGAGAGUUGCCCGCGGCUGCCCCUGCCCCUGCCCCUGUCGCCCAUGCUCCACACGGGCCCCACAGAAGCCUUCCCAUCCUGGCUUUUGUUCAACCUCGGUGGGCAGCAAGGUGGGGGCAGGACGGAGUGUGCGGGGCCUGGGCCUGCGUCACCGUCACUGGCCCGCCCCCCGCCUGGCCUAUGGGAGCCCAGGGGACACACCUGUCGGGGACCAGGAGCAGAGAUUGGCCAGCGGGAGCUCGCACCUGUGUGGGGCGGGGAGCACCGCUCCUUGUAAGGCGAGCCCCACCGAGCCGGCUCUUCCCUCCUGAGGCCCCCACCUCGCCACCACCUCCCAUUGUCCCGUCGCCCUCGAAACUCUCCCAGAGACGGGCGAGUUGUCCACCUGUGCAGGUCUGAACUGACUUGCUGUGCCAGGGCCUCGCCUGAGCCGGGGCAGGAAGCUCACCUUUGCAGGUCUCCCCGCACCGAGGGACGCCCUGAGGCCUGACCCUGGCUGAGGCAGAGCACCCAGCUCUGUGGACCGGGACGGACGGGCUCAGGUCCCCCCCAUUCCUUCCGAAGCCGGUUCACACCCACCCGGGCCUGGCACAGGGGAGGUGCUGGCUGCAGGGUUGGGGCGGGAGCAGCCUCAACCCGGCUCCUGGGCCGCGGCCGCAGCGGUGGAACCUGUUGGGGCAGCAGGCCUUCUAGAAAGUUCUCUCCAGAAGCAGCCACUGUCGUCCUGAGGCACUCUGUGCGGAGAUGGGAAGCUGUCACCUCAGAGGUGGGUGCGUAGAAGGGUUUGGCCGGGUGUGAGGAUGCCCGCGUCUCCCCUGGGCUCUGGAGUCUUCGGUGGGAAGGGCUUGGUUUCAACACCCUCUGAUCAGAGGCCGGCCGAGCCCGUGGGCAGUGAGGUUGGCGCCUGGGGUCGUGGCUGGUCUGGUACAGGUGGGGCUCAGCCCGGAGAAGCUGGAGCCUGUUCCCAGGCCCCGCGCUGUGACUGGGGUGGGGGCAACGUCUCUUGUACAGUUUUUUACUUAAAUGCGAAACGGCACAGUAUGGUGGCCGCAGCCAGGAGCAAGGUCUGACCCACCGAGGCCCAGGCUUGAACUUGCCACGGGGGCACCUGAACGUGGUUUUACAGCCCGGAUCACUGGCUUUCUUAAAGUUUGGGAACGGAUUGAUCAUGGUGGCGGGAGAUAAGGUUCAUUGUUCUUGAUGAACAAAAUUCUUAGGGCGUGAAGAGCUGAUGCUUUAAUUAACCCCCCGGGAGCGUCUCAGGCCCUGUUUAGGCUGAGUGUCUGGGGAAAGACAUGGUUUGGUUUUGUUUUUUUAGUAACCCAAAUGAAAUGUUUAAAAGCAUGGUUGGCAGCACAUUGAAUUUGGCAAAAUUAAGGUUUGCGUUUGUGAAAAUGCGGAUGCAGUUUGCGGUUCUUUUCAGACAUUUUGGUAAUUUGCAAAUACUUAUUUGCGAAAUGAGUUUGUCAGAACAUUUUUUAGUGUAUUUAGGGGAAGAUGAGAUGGGCCGAGGAGGUUGCCCAUCCCUGGAGGAGCCUGCUUUGUUCUCUGUGGGGCGGGUGGACGUGGCCCGGACGCAGGGGUCGUGCGCACAGCCAGCCUGACAGGGCUGCAAAUCCAUGCCCGCCGUGUGGGUGAAAUGGCGGCUUUGCCUCCCAGACGCUAGCUCCAGCGACGCAGAGGGAAGAACCUGAGUGCCGGCCAGGCUGAGCUCCGCACCCCACCCCCCAGCAGCCUCUGGCUCCCGGCUCGGCUCCCGCGGUCGGUAGGGGAGGGUUGGAUUUCAUGCUUUGUUCUCGAGGCCUCACCAUUGAUUAAGCCCGUCGGGCAGGUUAACCAACAAGUUAGGUUUUCACGCCGGGAUCACAUUCCUCGCCGGGCGCUCCCACCCCACCCCGGCCUGUGCAGGUGGGACCCGGCCAGGCAGGCGGGCAGGGCGGCCAGGUGCGCCGAGGGGCGCCUCCACGGGGCGUGUGCUCCGCAGAGAACCCCUUGCUGGGGCGGCUCUGGGCCUCCUGACUCACUCCUGGAUUUUCCCAAGCUGAGUCUGGCCCCGCGGUGAUGAUUAACCCAACACCUCAACCGGCACCGCGACGCUGGCUCCACUUCCCGGCGACGGUUGACAAGAAAGCGCCGUGUGAGGCUCUCGGAAAACAGGGAACAUCCAUUUCACUUUCCAUUUCUUGACCUGUGGCCACGCUUCUGCACUCAGGAGGCGCCUGGGAAUCCUGCCCUGCAACUUAGGAAGGAGACUUCUCCCACCCGCCUGCCACACGGGUCUGUCCCUGGGUCCGAGCCUCUGCCACGUGCCCCUCAGCCUCCCGGGUGAGAACGUGAUGGCUGAUGAGCCUGGGGUGGCCAGGCCAGCUCUGUGGGGUUCCUGAGAAGGCUGGCCCUGGGUGGCCAAGGGCCUGGGGACACUGGCCCCGGGCCCUGAACCUGGCAGUGGGAGGCUGGCCCGUCCGCCAGGUGGGCUGGGGACUGUGUUUGGCCCCAGCUGCAAGGGACGAGUGCCGGGCACCUGUUGCCCUCCCCACGUGGCCUGGCUGAAAUUCAACUCUGCUUUGAACGGGAAGUCUUAGUUUCCCUUAGCUCAGAAAACAGGUGAAAUUGUGUUCCUGAAGCACUGAUUUGAUGGGAUUUUAUGGGAUCGGUGGCGAAGGCCUGUGAGGUGAUGGAAAGGGAAAGCCAGGUGCCUGGAGCCUGACAGGCUGGGGCCAGGGCAGGGGACCUGGUGUGGGGUCUCCGGAGAGGGUUCAGGCAUGAGGGAAGCUGGGUCAGGUCCUCGGAGACGUGGCCUUUGGAGGAGGAGACCGGAACUGGGUGGACCCGGCAGCAGGCAGAGGCGGGCGGACACGACCUUUGUUGUGGUCGGCGGGCAAACAGGGGAAUCGGCACAGGGCCUGCGCACCCCCCCCAACAGCCUCUGUGGGUGGAAGGUGCCAGAAAACUUGAAGAGUGGCUCUGGCCAGCUCUCUGGGCCCAGUCAGCACCGAGUGGGUGCAGAGAAAGGGUGGCAAGGAGGACAGGAAGGGUGGCGUGUCCAGCGGGCAGGGAGCCUUGGUCUGGCCUGAGGGCUGAACCUCCCUCAGGUCCUGAGUGUGCCUGGAGUAGAAGCCUGGGGUCUCUGGGCUCCAGGCAGGGCCCUGAGCAAGGAGGGGCCGCAGGGCUGCCCACUUCCUCCUGCCCCCCUGCGGAGGCGGCUCAGCCCCUGCGGCGUCUGAGGCUUGACUGCCUGUGUCUGUGUUUGCUGCUGGUCUUCUGUGCCUGGGUCAGACCCCAG